rnacentral:lncRNA from 1 species
UGCGCUGCUGCUCGGUCAGCCAGCGUCUGGGAUGGGAGCGCUCCUGCAUUUUACAUGACUGCGGGGCCUGUUCCUUGCGCCUGUCUGGUCGCGUCACAUCAUGGAGGGUUUCUCGGGGCGGCCGGCCGCCUCUGAGCACAGCCAGGGUGGUGUUUGCAGCACAGCUGCUGCCUAGGCCUCGCUGCGGAGGUGCUGGGCCACGGCCCCGUGGAGGCAGAGCCGCAGGGCCAUCGACAUGUCCUUUGAAAACGGGCAUUUCCCCAACUCAUGCAGGUGGAGGGGAGAGCGAAGCCAAAUGGGACACCGGCCCCCACACACUGCCCCGGCUCCUGCAUUUCCGGAGAUGGAAACCUGGAGAGCAGCUGGGAUCUUGAAAACGUGGGUUGGACUGCGUCACCCCGACCCCUGCCUCAAAGCCCCUCCGUGGUUGCCUACAGCACAGCUUGAAGCCCCUUGGUUCUGCUUCCCGGGCCUGCAGCGCUGGCCCCAGCCUGGCCGAGCGAGCAUUUGUUCACCCAAGACCUUUCCCCUCCUGCCCUCGUGGAGCCUCCACAAGGAGUAAACAACCACUUCUGGUCCCUCAAAGCAUCAACUCUGUGCCUUGCAGACAGCGGACACGUAACACAGCCACGCGGCGUGAACAUGAGCAGACUUCUUUUUUCCAGGAUGUGCACGGUUUCCACGACAAUGCCCACUGCACGCCUUAUGGCCUCACCAGAGACGUAAAGCAGAUGCCAAGAAACUUCCCCCCAAAAUGGGCUGGCUUGCCAAGCCCAGGACCGCCUGUCCAGCUGGGGCUGGGGGCAAGGAUCCCAUUUUCUGUGACUCUCUUUGCUCUGAUGGUCAGGUUCACCGGCCGUACGUGUAAUCUGAAGCAUUCGGUAGCGAUCUAAUUAAAUGUUAACACAUCAUUAAAGUGAUUUGCGAUAAGCACA